rnacentral:rRNA from 1 species
CUGGCUCAGGAUGAACGCUAGCUACAGGCUUAACACAUGCAAGUCGAGGGUAGCAGGGUAGCAAUACCGCUGACGACCGGCGCACGGGUGAGUAACACGUAUCCAACCUUCCCAUAACUCAGGGAUAGCCUUUCGAAAGAAAGAUUAAUACCUGAUAGUACUUUUUCAAGGCAUCUUGAGAAAGUUAAAGAUUUAUUGGUUAUGGAUGGGGAUGCGUUCCAUUAGAUAGUUGGUGAGGUAACGGCUCACCAAGUCUUCGAUGGAUAGGGGUUCUGAGAGGAAGGUCCCCCACAUUGGUACUGAGACACGGACCAAACUCCUACGGGAGGCAGCAGUGAGGAAUAUUGGUCAAUGGGCGAGAGCCUGAACCAGCCAAGUAGCGUGAAGGAAUGAAGGUCCUAUGGAUUGUAAACUUCUUUUAUAGUAGAAUAAAGUGAUCCACGUGUGGAUUUUUGUAUGUAUACUAUGAAUAAGGAUCGGCUAACUCCGUGCCAGCCGCGGC